AAACACGGACCAAGGAGUCUAGAAUAUGCGCAAGUCAAAGGGCUGGCUAAACCCCAAGGCGAAACGAAAGUGAAAGUUUUCGAUAGGGCCGAUCCGGUUCGAGGUGCGCGAGUAGGGAGUCUUCCGCCGCUUUUUCCUCUCGGUACGCCGGUUCUCGGUUGGCCGGGGGGGAGGGUGGCGGGUCUGGUUCCUUGCUCUCCCCUCGAUUUGUCUCCGUAAUAUGAGGACGGCGCAGGCUCGGGGCUCGCACGCGACCUCCCCGCCACUAAUGCCAAACCGUUCGUUUCCGGCGUUCGCCAGAUUACGGGAAGCAGCGUCAUUUCCGAACCCCUCGUCGUCGGGGUCGCCGUGUCGUUUUCGUUUCCUCUCUCCGGAGGGGGGCGGGGCGCGCGGCGGCGUCGAACGCGCGUGCGGGCUAGGGGUGGCGUGUCGUCUUCUCCGUCAGCGCGUCGUUUUCGGGGCGUCGGUUCGCAGGCGCGGGACGAGCAGCGGGUUCUUAGAGCGCAUAUUCUAGUACCCGAAAGAUGGUGAUCUAUGCCUGGCCAGGAUGAAGCCAGAGGAAACUCUGGUGGAGGUCCGUAGCGAUUCUGACGUGCAAAUCGAUCGUCGGAGC
rnacentral:rRNA from 1 species